UCUACUUCUUAAAUCUACUUAUGGCAAUCAGCAACCCGAUUUUCCACAACUUCAUCAAACCAUGGGGCUUCUUGAAAGGAGGAUUCUGACCUUUUGGAAGUCCCAAACUCACCCGCUGAAUCUGCUCCAUCCAUCAUACAUACAUAGAAGCAUGCACUUUUUAAAACUUCACGCAUCUUGCUGAACAUGUCAUGAUAUAUCCUUACUGUUGUAAUUGCAGAUUUGUAAACUGUAUUAAUAGCAUUAAUCGCCAUUAUCAUUCUGUGGACUCUCAGCGUAAAAACUUCAGUCAUGGCUACUGCUUUGUGUUAAAGCUAUUGAAUUAUUACAGAAUGAGUAAGCUAAUAGCAUUAAUUGCCAUUUUCAUUCUAUGGACUCUCAGCUUAAAAACUUCAGUGGUGGCUACUGCUAUGCGUUAAAGCUAUUGAAUUAUUACAGAAUGAGUUGAAGUUGACUGGGGGCUUUUUUCAUUUUUGUUCUGGUGUUAUUCAUAUAAUGGACGCUCCUUGUAGGAACUAUUGGUUACCACGCAGCAUGACUAAUUGUGGAAUUUGAAUGAAGUUCAUAUUUCAUUAGCCUUGAUGCCAAAAACUAAAAAGGAAAAAAAUCUGUUGUCUGUCAGGAUGUACAAUGAGACCUUCUCAUAUUAUGAGAAGGCACUUGCCCUUUCGACCAGGAGUUUGAGCACCUAUGCAGGUCUGGCGUACACUCAUCAUUUGCAGGAUAAUUUCAAUUCUGCAAUUACAUAUUACCAUAAGGUACACUUACAAGUUGGGGCAUAGGUUAUUCAAUGGUUUGUACAUUUGGAGUUAGACAUAUCACUUCGAAGCAUCUCCUUAUCUUGGACAGGAUUCUUUAUAGCGUGUAGUAAUUUUUCGUGACAUGGGAAAGAGGGAACAUUUGGAUGCUGGCACAAAAUUGCUGAGGUUGUUGUGGCACGAAAGGGCACUGCUGGUCCGGGAUCAUUUGUGAAUUGAAUGGCGGAGCUCCAAACAAUCAGAUGUCAAUGGUCAGUCUACUGUUCAGCUCCAAACAAGAUUGUGCCCUGUUGUGUUCUCGAGGGCUUAAAAAGGUUAGUCAAGAUAUGGAGCAAGUGCACCUUUGGUCAAAUUGCUACCAGUACCUAGUCUUGUCAUUCCAGGAGGCUCUUGACUGGUGGUUCCUCAUUCUCGGAAAAUUCCUUCUGAUUUCCUUUGUCAACUGCACUUAGCUGCCAAUUGCUCUUACAUGAUCAUCACGCAAGACCUAAUGCAACUUUAUUCUUAAACUGGUGUUGGAUCUCUACAGCACUCCAAGUAUGAUCUUUAUCGACAUUUUUUUUCCAGCAUGCAGUAAUUUGUUGUUGUUGUUAAUCUGCU